GAAAUGCGAUAAGUAGUGUGAAUUGCAGAAUUCAGUGAAUCAUCGAAUCUUUUAAAGCACAUUGCGCCCCUUGGUAUUCCAUGGGGCAUGCCUGUUCGAGCGUCAUUUGUACCCUCAAGCUCUGCUUGGUGUUGGGUGUUUGUCCCGUCUCCGCGCGUGGACUCGCCCCAAAGUGAUUGGCAGCCGGCGUACUGGUCCCGGAGCGCAGCACAUGUCGCGCAAACGAGUGCCUUGGUACGGCGGCGUCCAUAAGCCCCUCUCUCACGCUCUUGACCUCGGAUCAGGUAGGGAUACCCGCUGAACUUAAGC
rnacentral:misc_RNA from 1 species